rnacentral:rRNA from 1 species
AGAUAUUUACCGGCCGCGGUACUCUGACCGUGCAAAGGUAGCAUAAUCAUUUGCCUUAUAAUUGAAGGCUAGUAUGAAUGGUUUGAUGAAAACAAAGCUGUCUCCUUUUAAUUUUAUAAAACUUGAUUUUUGGGUGAAGAAGCCCAAAUAAAAUUGAUAGACGAGGAGACCCUAUCGAGCUUAAAAAAAUUUUAUUAAAACAAAGUUGCUUAUAAAAGACCAGUUAUAAUAAAAAAUUUUAGUUGGGGCGACUAAGGAACAAUAAAGCUUCCAUUUUUAAUAUUAUAGCAUAUUAGCUAUGAUCCAAAAUCUUUGAUUAAAAGAAUUAGUUACCGUAGGGAUAACAGCAUAAUCUUUUUUGAGAGUUCUUAUCGAAAAAAAGGUUUGUGACCUCGAUGUNGGACUAAAAUAUCCNAAAAGANGCA